CAUCUCUUCUAUGCUAUUACAAC
rnacentral:siRNA from 1 species